rnacentral:tRNA from 1 species
UCCCUGGUGGUCCAGUGGCUAAGACUCUGGGCUCCCAAUGCAGAGUGCUCAGGUUUGAUCCCUGGUCAGGGAA